rnacentral:rRNA from 1 species
UCGCCUGCAUGAAGUCGGAACUGCUAGUAAUCGCAGAUCAGCAUGCUGCGGUGAAUACGUUCCCGGGCCUUGUACACACCGCCCGUCACACCAUGGGAGUCGGUAACACCCGAAGUCAGGAGCCUGACCUUUUUAGGAGGGCACUGCCGAAGGUGGGAUUGAUGACUGGGGUGAAGUCGUAACAAGGUACC